rnacentral:rRNA from 1 species
AUUGAACGCUGGCGACAUGCCUUACACAUGCAAGUCGAACGGCAGCACGGGUGCUUGCACCUGGUGGCGAGUGGCGAACGGGUGAGUAAUACAUCGGAACAUGUCCUGUAGUGGGGGAUAGCCCGGCGAAAGCCGGAUUAAUACCGCAUACGAUCUACGGAUGAAAGCGGGGGACCUUCGGGCCUCGCGCUAUAGGGUUGGCCGAUGGCUGAUUAGCUAGUUGGUGGGGUAAAGGCCUACCAAGGCGACGAUCAGUAGCUGGUCUGAGAGGACGAUCAGACACACUGGGACUGAGACACGGCCCAGACUCCUACGGGAGGCAGCAGUGGGGAAUUUUGGGCAAUGGGCGAAAGCCUGAUCCAGCAAUGCCGCGUGUGUGAAGAAGGCCUUCGGGUUGUAAAGCACUUUUGUCCGGAAAGAAAUCCUUGGCCCUAAUACGGUCGGGGGAUGACGGUACCGGAAGAAUAAGCACCGGCUAACUACGUG